rnacentral:tRNA from 1 species
AGAAGUUUAGGUUAAAUAGACCAAGAGCCUUCAAAGCCCUAAGCAAGUGAACUACACUUAACUUCUG